rnacentral:lncRNA from 1 species
AUCGAAUAUGUGUGGGUAUGUGGUGGCGCAUGUGGUUCUGUAGGAGCAGAAUCGCCUGAAGUGGUACAUGGUGCUGGAGUGAUCCGAUUUUUAGAGUGAGUUUGAAACUCCACCUCGACAGUUUUCUUCGAUCCAUCUGCAUCUGCACCUGUACCUGUAUCACAAGAAACACGCGACUCCUCCUUUCGGCGAAGCAUAGCAGUUUCGUUAAACUUAACAUCUCUGCUAAUAAUAAUUUUCUUAUCUUUAGGAGACCACAACCGAAAAC